rnacentral:rRNA from 1 species
UACGUAGGGUGCGAGCGUUGUCCGGAAUUAUUGGGCGUAAAGAGCUUGUAGGCGGUUUUGUCGCGUCUGCUGUGAAAAAUCCGGGGCUCAACCCCGGAUCUGCGGUGGGUACGGGCAGACUAGAGUGAUGUAGGGGGAGACUGGAAUUCCUGGUGUAGCGGUGAAAUGCGCAGAUAUCAGGAGGAACACCGAUGGCGAAGGCAGGUCUCUGGGCAUUAACUGACGCUGAGGAGCGAAAGCAUGGGGAGCGAACAGG